ACCCUCCAGAUUCCUUACCCCUCAGAUCUAAAUAUUGGUCUGAGCGGCUAUAAAAGGAGGGAAAGUAUAACUGAAGUGGACUUGGAAUCUUUAAUGAUGCACAAGUUCAUUUCAAACAUAA
ensembl:snoRNA